GUUGGUUUUACCUGAAGCCGGUGCGCUAACCGCAAGGAGGCAGCCGACCACGGUAGGGUCAGCGACUGGGGUGAAGUCGUAACAAGGUAGCCGUAGGUGAACCUGCAGAAGGAUCA
rnacentral:rRNA from 1 species